rnacentral:lncRNA from 1 species
AGUGGCACUGGAGUUUGGGUCUGAGGAGCCUAGACACUCGGAGGCAGCAGACUCGCCGAGAUCCAGCACCGUCCACAUACUGUCCCAGUUGCUGAGACUCCGCCAGUGUUGCUGUCAUCUUUCUUUACUGAAGUCGGCCCUGGAUCCAAUGGAACUGAAGGGUGAAGGUCUCGUCCUUUCCCUGGAAGAACAGCUCAGUGCUUUGACCUUGUCAGAACUCCGUGACUCAGAGCCAUCUUCCACUGUUUCCCUUAACGGCACCUUCUUCAAGAUGGAGCUUUUUGAAGGCAUGCGAGAGAGCACCAAGGUACUUUUUGUCUCCUCUGUAGUAGUCGAGAGACUUCGAUUCCUCACACAUUUUCCUGUGUGACAGCACCU